rnacentral:pre_miRNA from 1 species
GUGGUCCUCUGACAUCGGGUUUCCGCUGUACUUGCAUAAUGAGAACUUUGUAGUGCGCCGGUGACCUGAUAGCAGCGGUCUCAC